UGUGAUUUCUGCUCAGUGCUCAGAAUGUCAAUAUGAAGAGAUUUUAACCCAAAGCGCGGGGUAAACAGCGGGAGUACUAUGACUCUCUUAAGGUAGCCCAAAUGCCUCGUCGUCCAAUUAGCGACGCGCAUGAAUGGAUUAAUGAGAUUCCCACUGUCCCUAAUUACUAUCUAGCGAAACCACAGCCAAGGGAACGGGGCUUGGCAAAAAUUAGCGGGGAAAGAAGACCCUGUUGAGCUUGACUUUUAUUCAGAAUUUGUGAAAUGGUGCUCGAGGUAUAGAAUAGGUGGGAGUGUAACGAAAUUGAAAUACCACUACUUUUGACGUUGUUUUACUUAUUAAAUAAAAAACUAAAAGAUUAAUAAUCUUGAUUCUAGAAUUAACGAAUAUUACAUGUUGACUCCAUGUGGGUUAACCUCUGAUUUGGGAAGUUUGUUUUAAGACAUUUUCUGGUGGGGGAGUUUGGCUGGG
rnacentral:rRNA from 1 species